AAUCCCUGAUGUCUUUCUGUAGUGGCGGAGUUUAUUAGUCCUCACUGUGAAAGUACAAAAUGAACAGUGAUGUAUGUUGAGUUUAAAACUUGUGCCAUGUCAACGAAUUUACAUAUAUUUGCAUACUUCGCAAAGCCAUUCAAAUGAUUAAUGCACACAUUAUUGAACAGCUAUUCAGUUUAAUGUUUCAGGGACAAUGCAACAUUUAGCUGAACUUCAGCUGUGGUUUAAGUUGAUGUAAUAUUUUUAUUUUAUUUUCAGCUUUUCACAAAAAUUAGUUGGAGAUCAAGCAAUAAUUGGCAGACCCCCUGCAGUAUGGCUGCGGACCCCCUGUCGAAGUCCCCGAAGAUUAUAGAGAUGAAAACAAAGCCGUUACUGUAGAGGAUUCACGACAAGAGACCUGCAUGUGGACUCUUAUCACUUAUCAAAGCCUGU